rnacentral:rRNA from 1 species
UACGUAGGUGGCAAGCGUUGUCCGGAAUUAUUGGGCGUAAAGCGCGCGCAGGCGGUUCUUUAAGUCUGAUGUGAAAGCCCACGGCUCAACCGUGGAGGGUCAUUGGAAACUGGAGAACUUGAGUACAGAAGAGGAAAGCGGAAUUCCACGUGUAGCGGUGAAAUGCGUAGAGAUGUGGAGGAACACCAGUGGCGAAGGCGGCUUUCUGGUCUGUAACUGACGCUGAGGCGCGAAAAGCGUGGGGGAGCAAACAGG